rnacentral:rRNA from 1 species
UACGAAGGGGGCUAGCGUUGCUCGAAAUUACUGGGCGUAAAGGGAGCGUAGGCGGACAUUUAAGUCAGGGGUGAAAUCCCAGAGCUCAACUCUGGAACUGCCUUUGAUACUGGGUGUCUUGAGUGUGAUAGAGGUAAGUGGAACUCCGAGUGUAGAGGUGAAAUUCGUAGAUAUUCGGAAGAACACCAGUGGCGAAGGCGACUUACUGGAUCAUUACUGACGCUGAGGCUCGAAAGCGUGGGGAGCAAACAGG